rnacentral:rRNA from 1 species
UGGGGAAUAUUGGACAAUGGGCGCAAGCCUGAUCCAGCCAUGCCGCGUGAGUGACGAAGGCCUUAGGGUUGUAAAGCUCUUUUGGCGGGGACGAUAAUGACGGUACCCGCAGAAUAAGCUCCGGCUAACUUCGUGCCAGCAGCCGCGGUAAUACGAAGGGAGCUAGCGUUGUUCGGAAUCACUGGGCGUAAAGCGCACGUAGGCGGAUUAUUAAGUCAGGGGUGAAAUCCCGGGGCUCAACCUCGGAACUGCCUCUGAUACUGAUAGUCUCGAGUCCGGAAGAGGUGGGUGGAAUUCCUAGUGUAGAGGUGAAAUUCGUAGAUAUGUGGAGGAAUACCGAUGGCGAAGGCAGCCCCCUGGGCUAACACUGACGCUCAUGCACGAAAGCGUGGGGAGCAAACAGGAUUAGAUACCCACGUAGUCCCUGAGCGGGCUGGCAAGGCGCAU